rnacentral:rRNA from 1 species
UACGUAGGGAGCAAGCGUUGUCCGGAAUCAUUGGGCGUAAAGCGCGCGUAGGCGGCCUCAUAAGUCCGUUGUGAAAGUCAAAGGCUCAACCUUUGAAAGCCGAUGGAUACUGUGAGGCUAGAGUCCGGAAGAGGCGAGUGGAAUUCCGGGUGUAGCGGUGGAAUGCGCAGAUAUCAGGAGGAACACCAAUAGCGAAGGCAGCUCGCUGGGACGGUACUGACGCUAAGGCGCGAAAGCGUGGGGAGCGAACAGG